ACCCCAUUCUAGGUGCUGAGGACACCACAGUGAGUGACCCAUCAAAAGGCUCUGCCCUCACAUACUGACAUUCUACCAGGGAAGGAGGAGGAGAGGGGACAAGACAAUAAACAUGAACAAUAAACCCAAGUCAAUCACAGUCAGGCAGUUCUGUUAUAAUACAACAUACACGUUGCUAAAAAAAAAAUCUCACAAUAACACCAGAAGGCAUACGGGGAAAAAAGAGAGGAGCGUAAUAAAAGCACAGCACAGUUUUAUACACACUAAGUGGCUUAGAAAUACAUAAAUACUACAAAAAAUAUGGCACUGUACUGUGAAGAAACCAAAGUGUGCUUGUGGAAGUGGGCAUCGGAAAGGCUUGUAAUUGUGGGACGGAUGGAGGAUUAUCAGGAAUGAGAAUAUUGGAACUCCGCAUGUGGAUGAGUGUGGCUCAAAAAAUGAGACAUGAACUGAGGCUUUCUCAGCCAGGGCUACUGCUGGGGCACUGGAGAAAAGCAGCCCCUUAGGUCAGCCUGCAGAGUGAGGUGGACCUCAGACCACAUUCACAUUGAUCGGCUGCAAAUUGCUGGUGGGAAAGGGAAUUAGAACAAGCCCUAUGGAAGGCAAUUUGACAUCAUCUAUCAAAAUUGCAAGUACACAGACCAUUUGACCCAGCAAUCCCACCUCCAGGAAUUUAUCCUCCAGUUUUGUUUUAGGCUGCAAAGUUUAACAUCCUUGAAAUAUCAACUCAAACUCUUGGAUCAACUGAAGUAAAGUUUUCAGAGCCAACUAACUUUAUAAGAAUAAGAACAGUCUUACAAAAGAAGCGAUCCAGAUGCCUCAUUGGUGACUGCUUGAAUGAAUAUUUGAGUACAUGAAAAUGUGAAGCUGUUAUGGACAUCUAUACUCAGAUCACCACAAUCACUCUGAAUCUAAUCAGAAAUGGAUAUGUUUGUCUAAAUGGAUUGAAGCCACAGCAUUUCCAAAUUCCAAAUGGCAACCCACCCUGAAGGGGCAAGAGUGUCAGCAAAUCAAA